rnacentral:rRNA from 1 species
GACAAGUUGACAAGAGCAUCGGGUGGAUGCCUUGGCGUCGGAAGGCGAUGAAAGACGUGGUAAGCUGCGAAAAGCCUCGGGGAGAAGCUAAACAUUCUGUGAUCCGGGGAUUUCUGAAUGGGGAAACCCGGCGGAGGUCAUGCUCCGUCGCGGGCACUUGAAUACAUAAAGUGUCCAGCGCCAACUCAGGGAAGUGAAACAUCUCAGUACCUGAAGGAAAAGAAAUCAAACGAGACUCCCAAAGUAGCGGCGAGCGAAAUGGGAUGAGCCCAAACCGGCUGGAUUCGUUCAGCCGGGGUUGUAGGGCCGGCAUAUGUGAUUCAUGAGUAGGCAGGGGAAAUGAGCUGGAAAGCUCUGCCAGAGCGGGUGACAGCCCCGUACCUGAAACCCAAAGCGACACAGCCGGUACCUGAGUACCGCGAGACACGUGGAACCUCGUGGGAAUCCGGGAGGACCAUCUUCCAAGGCUAAGUACUAACCGACGACCGAUAGUGUACCAGUACCGUGAGGGAAAGGUGAAAAGAACCUCUGUUAGAGGAGUGAAAUAGAAUCUGAAACCUGGUGCUUACAAGCUGUGAGAGCGGACUUGUUCCGUGAUCACGUGCCUUUUGCAUAAUGAGUCAGCGAGUUAAUCUGUACUGCAAGGUUAAGCG